rnacentral:rRNA from 1 species
UACGGGGGGGGCAAGCGUUGUUCGGAAUUACUGGGCGUAAAGAGCUCGUAGGCGGUUUGUCGCGUCGGCCGUGAAAUCUCCACGCUUAACGUGGAGCGUGCGGUCGAUACGGGCAGACUUGAGUUCGGUAGGGGAGACUGGAAUUCCUGGUGUAGCGGUGAAAUGCGCAGAUAUCAGGAGGAACACCGGUGGCGAAGGCGGGUCUCUGGGCCGAUACUGACGCUGAGGAGCGGAAGCGUGGGGAGCGAACAGG